rnacentral:lncRNA from 1 species
AGGCACAGCGGCGGCUGCAGCGGGGUUCCCAGCCCGCGGAUGUGCUCGGGAGGCGUCCUUAGUUGCCCUGCGUCGCUCGAGGACGCUGGCGCCCUGGAUAAGCCAGUGGCGUGGUAAUUAAUGGAAUGCAAUAUUUACGGUCCGGUGUCCUGACUCUGAGGCAGGCGCGCCUUGGAGGCAGUCCGUGGGGGUCUGACAAACAGGAGAUCUGAAGACAAAAGGAGAGGAGGCCUGGUGGUGAGCCGGCUAUCUCUGCUAGUUGUCAGAGCAGGUCCAUGGGUUAGGAAUGCUAAUGAGCCUGUUGGCCAGCUGAAGACUGGGUUCUCGCUCUCGCACACCCCGACGCUCACACACUCGGGCUCCUGCUACAGCACGCCGCCGACUGACAAGCACACGGGCGAGCCUCCUGCGCGACCCUGUCUCUCUCCUUUUUCCUCUGAGCCCAAGAUCGAUCGCUGACCCCACCAUUGGGCCAACGCUUUAUUUAUCUGGCUGCGCAAUGAUAUUAUCAGCCUUAAACGUUAUAUACAGCAAAUGUCUUCCUAAAUCAACACAAUAGGAUAGCUUGCAGGGACCAGGCUAGUCUUCUUAAAGAACCCCCUCGCCACCUCUCUGUCUUUCUCCCUCUGCCCCUCGCAGGCAGGCAUUUGCUUCCUGACAAUUGAGGGUAUUUUGUAAGCUGGACUUUGGGGUUUGAUCCCUAGCUUUCAGCUUGGUCAGAAGAGGCCCUGGUGGUCCAGGAGAUGGAUAGAUACCAUUAUCUAGCUAUCACUGAGACUCCCAUCAGGGGUUCUCUUGUCAGCGGGAUCCACCUGCCUAGAUCCACCCUAUUCACAAAAUCCAGAAAAUUUCAAAAUUGAGGUAGAAGAGAGAGGGAAGGGUGGGGAAUCAAGUGUGCAACCCUUCACCGUGCUAAUUGUUUUCUUUCCUCUCAAUUACAUUCAUAAACCUAUUUUCUGCAUUGCAUGUUAUUUCUUUGUGCUUCAAAAUUGAAACCACGUGCAGCCUUCUCCCCUCCGCACACACAAUAAAUGAGCGGCC